UUGGGUACCCGUUGGGUUCAUGUCAGGUUUUUUGGAUUUCGAUUCUAUUUUGGAACACGUCUUAGGACCCAUACUGGAAUUUUUGUAAGUAUGAAUCAAGAUCACAUAUAACACAUCGGGUUCAGAUUGGUUUUGUAUCACAUACUAGAGUGUUCGGGUCGGUUUUGUAUCACAUACUAGAACACAUAAAGUAACCAUAUAUCGUUUGGAUUUUAGUUAUUUUUGAUCGGUUCGGAUAACCUCAUGUAAAAUCUAAAAUUUAAAAGAAAACAUAAGAAAUACAUACUUAGAAAACAACACUAGCAUUGAAUUUGAAUCAUUACAAUACAUAUAUAUAAGUCUUAUAAAGACUGUAUUGCGUGGUAGGAUCGACAAAUUUACGAAUAUAUCUUUUAUUAUAAGAUUAAAAUUUUACUAUUUUAUUAAUUUAUGUUAAUUUUACGUAAUAAAAAUGUAUAAAAUUUUACA
rnacentral:lncRNA from 1 species